UCCACUAACACUGUGCUAAUUACCAAAACGCCCCUCGACUAAUACUCUGUUUAGCGACACGGAUCAAAUACCUUUCGCAGUCCCUUCUAAAUGUCCGAUUGAGCUCAAAUUUGGCAGACUUGUUCGGUUUUACUUAACAAGUACAAAAAAAUUUUAACAUUUCAGUUCCGACCCCGUUUGGUCACUGCGAACUGUACCGAACUGCAAUCUUUAUCCGAUAGCUUUCGGAUCCAAUUUCUCUCUCUACGGGUGUCAGAAUAAUUUGAAACUUCAAAUAUAGCCUCAUAAAAAUAUUCCUGACAUCUCUGCCAAUUUUCAUAAUUUUCUGACACUGUGCAUUUUCUGCUAAUUUCUCAGUCCCGUUCUUUACAGAAAAUUUUAAAUCUUCUGUUUUCGCUCCGAUUUCAAUACGAGUCAUUCCAGACUUAUGUUUUACACCCUUAAGUCCAAUCAAAUGGUAUCUCAUACCAUUUUAUAUUAUUUUGCUCACUUUAAUUCUUUUAAUCAAAGUUAGCGUCGGAAAUCCGCAAAUUUUCUUUACUUUUUUGUUUCGCGCCCAAUUUGCGCCGAAACACUUAUUUAUCUCCAGAAUUCAUUCUCACGCGUCUAAAAUCACUAGGGGAAGAUAUUCAACUAGCUCGAGCUUCACUUCGAUCCCCUGGAUCAAAGUUAGCAUCGCAACUCAUGGUUUCCAUAUAUUACAGGUCUCUUCCACCAGGGACCGGUCCCCAAGAGCUCAAAACUGCAGAAUGUAGAUUUUGAUCCUUUAGCUUUCGAAAACCUCCCGUAACUCACUUUUAAUUAUUUUAACACAUUCGGACUUUCCGAAGUGUACCAUCCUCGCACUUUGGUCAAUUUGACUAAAGUUCUAUAUUUAUUUUCCGAAUUUUCGGUAUAUUACACUCUCAGCCCACUAAAUCUUCGUCUUCUGCAGGAGGUUCUAUAGUACCGGCACCACAUGACGACCCACCAAUUACUGUUCCUUCCGACAAUCAGACGACUGCUGAGCGCCGCCCCACACAAUUUUUUGGUUGUCUUGCCUCUCCUUCUUUUUCUCCGCGAUAUCAUACUUUCUUUGCAGCCAUUUCUAAUAUCCAGGAACCCCGUACAUAUCGCCAGGCCGUUUCCAUUCCUGAAU
rnacentral:lncRNA from 1 species